rnacentral:rRNA from 1 species
GACAGAGGUGCCGAGCGUUGUUCGGAUUUACUGGGCUUAAAGCGCAGGUAGGCGGACGAAGUAGUCAGAUGUGAAAGCCUCCGGCUCAACCGGGGAAGUGCAUCUGAAACCAUUCGUCUUGAGGCAGGUAAGGGCCAGUGGAAUUCCCGGUGGAGCGGUGAAAUGCGUAGAUAUCGGGAAGAACGCCUGAGGUGAAAACGAUUGGCUGGACCUGUCCAGACGCUGAGCUGCGAAAGCCAGGGGAG